AUGUCGGUUAAAAUCGAUUAUAGUUACAUCUAUGAUGCAAAUCCCGGCCGAAGAGAGAGUAGUGAGCAGACGUUGAGGAAUUGUAGAUGUGUCCCCGUAGCAAAAGAUGGAAACGUUAAGAAAAAGCAAGAGACUGAUGUCCAAACUAAAUGGUUUGCCUCUCUGCGGAGCAUCUCGAGGGCCAGAAAUGAAAAGAUUUUUCAGAGUAAAACAAUUCCUGCAGCAGACAUAGCGGAUAAAAUUAAGAUUCUCUCGUGGCAUUGGCUGAAAAUUAAGGCCAAGAAUUUUAAUCAGCCUCUCUGCAUUUGGCUUUGA
rnacentral:lncRNA from 1 species